GAUGAACGCUGGCGGCGUGCCUAAUACAUGCAAGUCGAGCGAACAGAUGAGGAGCUUGCUCCUCUGACGUUAGCGGCGGACGGGUGAGUAACACGUGGAUAACCUACCUAUAAGACUGGGAUAACUUCGGGAAACCGGAGCUAAUACCGGAUAAUAUAUUGAACCGCAUGGUUCAAUAGUGAAAGACGGUUUUGCUGUCACUUAUAGAUGGAUCCGCGCCGCAUUAGCUAGUUGGUAAGGUAACGGCUUACCAAGGCAACGAUGCGUAUCCGACCUGAGAGGGUGAUCGGCCACACUGGAACUGAGACACGGACAAGACUCCUACGGGAGGCAGCAGUAGGGAAUAUUCCGCAAUGGGCGAAAGCAUGACGGAGCAACGCCGCGUGAGUGAUGAAGGUCUUCGGAUCGUAAAACUCUGUUAUUAGGGAAGAACAAAUGUGUAAGUAAAUAUGCACGUAUUGACGGUACCUAAUCAGAAAGCCACGGCUAACUACGUG
rnacentral:rRNA from 1 species